rnacentral:rRNA from 1 species
UUGAACGCUGGCGGCAUGCCUUACACAUGCAAGUCGAACGGUAACAGGUCUUCGGAUGCUGACGAGUGGCGAACGGGUGAGUAAUACAUCGGAACGUGCCCGAUCGUGGGGGAUAACGCAGCGAAAGCUGUGCUAAUACCGCAUACGAUCUACGGAUGAAAGCGGGGGAUCGCAAGACCUCGCGCGAUAGGAGCGGCCGAUAUCGGAUUAGCUAGUUGGUGAGGUAAAGGCUCACCAAGGCGACGAUCCGUAGCUGGUCUGAGAGGACGACCAGCCACACUGGAACUGAGACACGGUCCAGACUCCUACGGGAGGCAGCAGUGGGGAAUUUUGGACAAUGGGCGCAAGCCUGAUCCAGCAAUGCCGCGUGCAGGAUGAAGGCCUUCGGGUUGUAAACUGCUUUUGUACGGAACGAAAAGACUCCUUCUAAUAAAGGGGGUUCAUGACGGUACCGUAAGAAUAAGCACCGGCUAACUACGU